AUGUGGCAUACGUGUCCAGCUACCAAGCUGGAAAUUUUAGCAAAACUGUUACAGGUGUGGAUGGCUGCCUAUAUUAGGGUCCUCCAAAGAAAGGCAAGGCGGCUAGGGUUUCUGCCCCCCGUCGCCGCCGCCGCCAAUUUGCCACGUCUUCUGUGGCCUUACGACCAUGGGGCAUUCUUGUCUUUUCACACACAAGCGUAUAAAAGGAAGCACGCCGUGUGGAAUCCGCCAUCCGCCGCGGCCCUCUGCUUCACUCCAGCCGUCGCCGCCUCGCGUCCGGUUCUUCUCCCCUUCUCUCUCUUCGCCGAGCUCGCCGCCGCCGCUGCUCGCCUCGUCCCCUCGCGCCUCCAACCCCUAGCCUCCCCUUCUCCUCCUCCCGUCCUCUCCUCCGCCGCUCGGUCGCCGUGCCCGUGCUGCUCAACCUCCGCCAUCUUCUCCUACUCCAGCGCCUCAUCCCCUGAUCUCACGUGCUCGGCCUCCAUCCCGUUCCCCUGCCUGGCGGCGCUCUCUACCGCUGUCGUCGCUACGUAUUCUCCUCCCCGACCAUCGACCUCAGGCCGCCGCUCCGUCCCCCGUCCCCAUCGCAGCCCUCCUCGAGCAGCAGGACAGGCGGCGGCCAGAUCCACCACGACCGCCGCAGUUCGUCCGGAUACGCGCCCACCCCAGUUGCUGGUGCGCCACUGCUGCCGUUCUCGUGCGACCGCGCAGCUCCUCUGCUCCAACCCUGUCAAGGUGCCCUCCUCCCCCUUCUCGAUUCGACGCUGCAUGUGUUGCUCUCUUCAUGAAGCUCCUCUCUGCUGCAGUCUUGGAGGAGAUGCUGGAGAACCUGAGAUGCGAUUCUUCGGCCCCAACAAGCUCCAGGACAAGGAGGGCGACAAGUUCCUUCUUGGGUCCAACGCAGGGGUAAGCACUGGGACCUCCUCUGCUCUCUUCUCAUCCCUCCAGAUUCGGUUUGGAUGGCACAGGGUGGUGGUGUUAUUUGGUAGCCAGAAGAUGGUGUUGAGGAAGCUCCUUGAUGAGCUGGGCAUCCCGGAUGAAAAUGUGCCCAUUGACCAGUUCAUUCCUCUCAGUCGGAUGCUUUACAGGGUGUCGGCUGUAGAGACAGAAGAGGAGGUUGACACAUCCUCGGCGCCUACUGCAGCGACCACGACCACAUGUAUCUAA
rnacentral:rRNA from 1 species